UGGGGAAUAUUGCACAAUGGGCGCAAGCCUGAUGCAGCCAUGCCGCGUGUAUGAAGAAGGCCUUCGGGUUGUAAAGUACUUUCAGCGGGGAGGAAGGCGAUAAGGUUAAUAACCUUGUCGAUUGACGUUACCCGCAGAAGAAGCACCGGUUAACUCCGUGCCAGCAGCCGCGGUAAUACGGAGGGAGCAAGCGUUAAUCGGAAUUACUGGGCGUAAAGCGCACGCAGGCGGUCUGUCAAGUCGGAUGUGAAAUCCCCGGGCUCAACCUGGGAACUGCAUUCGAAACUGGCAGGCUAGAGUCUUGUAGAGGGGGGUAGAAUUCCAGGUGUAGCGGUGAAAUGCGUAGAGAUCUGGAGGAAUACCGGUGGCGAAGGCGGCCCCCUGGACAAAGACUGACGCUCAGGUGCGAAAGCGUGGGGAGCAAACA
rnacentral:rRNA from 1 species